rnacentral:lncRNA from 1 species
GUCAGAGUGGGAGGUGGCAGAUUGGCCCUGCGCUUCCCUGCUUCCCGAGUAAACAGGGGGCUGGCCGGCCUCCCCGCUGCAGCCUCCUGGCCGGCCUCCCCCUGCAGCCUCCGGGCUGGCCUCCCCAGCCCCACUCUGCGCAGUGCCCCCACCCCGCCCACCCCCUCUGACCUCUCCCGGCCCCUCUGGCUGUGGGGACUUCCUUAGUCCUGGCCUGUCCGGGUUUUCAGAGGCCCAAGGGGGUUGCUGGGCAGGCUGCCCUUGAGCCAGCCUGCAGGGGGCUGUUCUGACUGUCCUUGUCAUAGUCAGGGAAGAGGCCUGGGCUCUGGAGGCCGGACCCUGCCGCUCUCUGGCCUCACCCACCUCGGGCCACUGGGGCUGCACCUGCGGCCACCAGGGGAGGAGCCUGCUGCUGAGGUGGGUGCCCCUCGGCUUCCUGUCCCGAAGACCUUUAGCUACCCUGUCCCCGACUCUCAUCUUGGGACAAG